UGAUCCAGCCAUGCCGCGUGUGUGAAGAAGGCCUUUUGGUUGUAAAGCACUUUAAGUAGUGAAGAAAACUCUUCGGUUAAUACCCGGAGACGAUGACAUUAGCUGCAGAAUAAGCACCGGCUAACUCUGUGCCAGCAGCCG
rnacentral:rRNA from 1 species